rnacentral:rRNA from 1 species
GGGUGCGAUCAUACUAGCACUAAUGCACCGGAUCCCAUCAGAACUCCACAGUUAAGCGUGCUUGGGCGAGAGUAGUACUUGGAUGGGUGACCUUCUGGGAAGUCCUCGUGUUGCACCCCN